UGAGUCAUCGACAACUCAUGAGUCGUCGACAACUCAUGAGUUCUCGAGUUAGUCCCAUGGUCUGCGAGCUUGGAAUGUUUCCGGUUCUGAGUCUGCGGGUCGGGAAGUUCCUAUAACCUGUCUCGGACUGUCUCUCUGCUCACUCAGUCUCUUGAGUUAACUUGUGGAGUUGUGGUUGCCUACGAAAUUGUAAGUUAUUAAACUUUUGGCAGCUAAGAUGGCUAGGACUAGUAGUAGCUAAUGUUGCAAGAGGUUUGUGUGUGGCGCUGUUUUCAUUUUAGAUUGAAUUGUCGUAGAACUCAACUGAUCCGAGUUAAUAAUACUAGAGACUCGCGAUUCAUGAGUCAAUUUAAAGACUCGGGUGAAAGAUCCGAGUGAAUCACAACUCAAACAGGUUUACUUGAGACUGAGCACUGCAGCAAUGAGCA